rnacentral:rRNA from 1 species
UUGCUCCCUGAUGUUAGCGGCGGACGGGUGAGUAACACGUGCGUAACCUGCCUGUAAGACUGGGAUAACUCCGGGAAACCGGGGCUAAUACCGGAUGGUUGUUUGAACCGCAUGGUUCAAACAUAAAAGGUGGCUUCGGCUACCACUUACAGAUGGACCCGCGGCGCAUUAGCUAGUUGGUGAGGUAACGGCUCACCAAGGCAACGAUGCGUAGCCGACCUGAGAGGGUGAUCGGCCACACUGGGACUGAGACACGGCCCAGACUCCUACGGGAGGCAGCAGUAGGGAAUCUUCCGCAAUGGACGAAAGUCUGACGGAGCAACGCCGCGUGAGUGAUGAAGGUUUUCGGAUCGUAAAGCUCUGUUGUUAGGGAAGAACAAGUACCGUUCGAAUAGGGCGGUACCUUGACGGUACCUAACCAGAAAGCCACGGCUAACUACGUGCCACCAGCCGCGGUAAUACGUAGGUGGCAAGCGUUGUCCGGAAUUAUUGGGCGUAAAGGGCUCGCAGGCGGUUUCUUAAGUCUGAUGUGAAAGCCCCCGGCUCAACCGGGGAGGGUCAUUGGAAACUGGGGAACUUGAGUGCAGAAGAGGAGAGUGGAAUUCCACGUGUAGCGGUGAAAUGCGUAGAGAUGUGGAGGAACACCAGUGGCGAAGGCGACUCUCUGGUCUGUAACUGACGCUGAGGAGCGAAAGCGUGGGGAGCGAACAGGAUUAGAUACCCUGGUAGUCCACGCCGUAAACGAUGAGUGCUAAGUGUUAGGGGGUUUCCGCCCCUUAGUGCUGCAGCUAACGCAUUAAGCACUCCGCCUGGGGAGUACGGUCGCAAGACUGAAACUCAAAGGAAUUGACGGGGGCCCGCACAAGCGGUGGAGCAUGUGGUUUAAUUCGAAGCAACGCGAAGAACCUUACCAGGUCUUGACAUCCUCUGACAAUCCUAGAGAUAGGACGUCCCCUUCGGGGGCAGAGUGACAGGUGGUGCAUGGUUGUCGUCAGCUCGUGUCGUGAGAUGUUGGGUUAAGUCCCGCAACGAGCGCAACCCUUGAUCUUAGUUGCCAGCAUUCAGUUGGGCACUCUAAGGUGACUGCCGGUGACAAACCGGAGGAAGGUGGGGAUGACGUCAAAUCAUCAUGCCCCUUAUGACCUGGGCUACACACGUGCUACAAUGGACAGAACAAAGGGCAGCGAAACCGCGAGGUUAAGCCAAUCCCACAAAUCUGUUCUCAGUUCGGAUCGCAGUCUGCAACUCGACUGCGUGAAG